CGGCCCACCAAGGCAACGAUCAGUAGGGGUUCUGAGAGGAAGGUCCCCCACAUUGGAACUGAGACACGGUCCAAACUCCUACGGGAGGCAGCAGUGAGGAAUAUUGGUCAAUGGACGAGAGUCUGAACCAGCCAAGUAGCGUGCAGGAAGACGGCCCUAUGGGUUGUAAACUGCUUUUAUAAGGGAAUAAAGUGAGAGUCGUGACUCUUUUUGCAUGUACCUUAUGAAUAAGGACCGGCUAAUUCCGCGCCAGCAGCCGCGGUAAUACGGAAGGUCCGGGCGUUAUCCGGAUUUAUUGGGUUUAAAGGGAGCGUAGGCCGAAGAUUAAGCGUGUUGUGAAAUGUAGACGCUCAACGUCUGCACUGCAGCGCGAACUGGUUUCCUUGAGUACGCACAAAGUGGGCGGAAUUCGUGGUGUGGCGGUGAAAUGCUUAGAUAUCACGAAGAACUCCGAUUGCGAAGGCAGCUCACUGGAGCGCAACUGACGCUGAAGCUCGAAAGUGCGGGUAUCGAACAGGAUUAGAUACCCUGGUAGUCCGCACGGUAAACGAUGGAUGCCCGCUGUUGGUCUGAAUAGGUCAGCGGCCAAGCGAAAGCAUUAAGCAUCCCACCUGGGGAGUACGCCGGCAACGGUGAAACUCAAAGGAAUUGACGGGGGCCCGCACAAGCGGAGGAACAUGUGGUUUAAUUCGAUGAUACGCGAGGAACCUUACCCGGGCUUGAAUUGCAGAGGAAGGAUUUGGAGACAAUGACGCCCUUCGGGGCCUCUGUGAAGGUGCUGCAUGGUUGUCGUCAGCUCGUGCCGUGAGGUGUCGGCUUAAGUGCCAUAACGAGCGCAACCCCUCUCCUUAGUUGCCAUCAGGUUAAGCUGGGCACUCUGGGGACACUGCCACCGUAAGGUGUGAGGAAGGUGGGGAUGACGUCAAAUCAGCACGGCCCUUACGUCCGGGGCUACACACGUGUUACAAUGGCAGGUACAGAGAGACGGUCCCUUGCAAAACGGAUCAAAUCCUUAAAGCCUGUCUCAGUUCGGACUGGGGUCUGCAACCCGACCCCACGAAGCUGGAUUCGCUAGUAAUCGCGCAUCAGCCAUGGCGCGGUGAAUACGUUCCCGGGCCUUGUACACACCGCCCGUCAAGCCAUGAAAGCCGGGGGCGCCUAAAGUCCGUGACCGUAAGGAGCGGCCUAGGGCGAAACUGGUAAUUGGGGCUAAGUCGUAACAAGGUA
rnacentral:rRNA from 1 species